ACGGGAGGCAGCAGUGGGGAAUAUUGCACAAUGGGCGCAAGCCUGAUGCAGCCAUGCCGCGUGUAUGAAGAAGGCCUUCGGGUUGUAAAGUACUUUCAGCAGUGAGGAAGGAGGUAUCGUUAAUAGCGGUAUCUUUUGACGUUAGCUGCAGAAGAAGCACCGGCUAACUCCGUGCCAGCAGCCGCGGUAAUACGGAGGGUGCGAGCGUUAAUCGGAAUUACUGGGCGUAAAGCGCAUGCAGGUGGUUUGUUAAGUCAGAUGUGAAAGCCCGGGGCUCAACCUCGGAAUUGCAUUUGAAACUGGCAGGCUAGAGUACUGUAGAGGGGGGUAGAAUUUCAGGUGUAGCGGUGAAAUGCGUAGAGAUCUGAAGGAAUACCGGUGGCGAAGGCGGCCCCCUGGACAGAUACUGACACUCAGAUGCGAAAGCGUGGGGAGCAAACAGGAUUAGAUACCCUGGUAGUCCACGCCGUAAACGAUGUCUACUUGGAGGUUGUGGCCUUGAGCCGUGGCUUUCGGAGCUAACGCGUUAAGUAGACCGCCUGGGGAGUACGGUCGCAAGAUUAAAACUCAAAUGAAUUGACGGGGGCCCGCACAAGCGGUGGAGCAUGUGGUUUAAUUCGAUGCAACGCGAAGAACCUUACCUACUCUUGACAUCCAGAGAACUUAGCAGAGAUGCUUUGGUGCCUUCGGGAACUCUGAGACAGGUGCUGCAUGGCUGUCGUCAGCUCGUGUUGUGAAAUGUUGGGUUAAGUCCCGCAACGAGCGCAACCCUUAUCCUUGUUUGCCAGCGAGUAAUGUCGGGAACUCCAGGGAGACUGCCGGUGAUAAACCGGAGGAAGGUGGGGACGACGUCAAGUCAUCAUGGCCCUUACGAGUAGGGCUACACACGUGCUACAAUGGCGCAUACAGAGGGCGGCCAACUUGCGAAAGUGAGCGAAUCCCAAAAAGUGCGUCGUAGUCCGGAUUGGAGUCUGCAACUCGACUCCAUGAAGUCGGAAUCGCUAGUAAUCGUGAAUCAGAAUGUCACGGUGAAUACGUUCCCGGGCCUUGUACACACCGCCCGUCACACCAUGGGAGUGGGCUGCAAAAGAAGCAGGUAGUUAACCUUCGGGAGGACG
rnacentral:rRNA from 1 species